rnacentral:rRNA from 1 species
CCAGACUCCUACGGGAGGCAGCAGUGGGGAAUAUUGCACAAUGGGCGAAAGCCUGAUGCAGCAACGCCGCGUGAAGGAAGAAGGUCUUCGGAUCGUAAACUUCUGUCCUUGGGGAAGAUAAUGACGGUACCCUUGGAGGAAGCCCCGGCUAACUACGUGCCAGCAGCCGCGGUAAUACGUAGGGGGCAAGCGUUAUCCGGAUUUACUGGGUGUAAAGGGAGCGUAGACGGCAGCACAAGUCUGGAGUGAAAUGCCGGGGCUUAACCCCGGAACUGCUUUGGAAACUGUGCAGCUAGAGUGCAGGAAAGGUAAGUGGAAUUCCUAGUGUAGCGGUGAAAUGCGUAGAUAUUAGGAGGAACACCAGUGGCGAAGGCGGUCUGCUGGACAGCAACUGACGCUGAGGCGCGAAAGCGUGGGGAGCAAACAGGAUUAGAUACCCGUGUA